UACGAAGGGGGCUAGCGUUGUUCGGAAUUACUGGGCGUAAAGCGCACGUAGGCGGAUCGAUCAGUCAGGGGUGAAAUCCCAGGGCUCAACCCUGGAACUGCCUUUGAUACUGUCGAUCUGGAGUAUGGAAGAGGUGAGUGGAAUUCCGAGUGUAGAGGUGAAAUUCGUAGAUAUUCGGAGGAACACCAGUGGCGAAGGCGGCUCACUGGUCCAUUACUGACGCUGAGGCGCGAAAGCGUGGGGAGCGAACAGG
rnacentral:rRNA from 1 species